CCUACGGGAGGCAGCAGUAGGGAAUCUUUCACAAUGGGCGAAAGCCUGAUGGAGCAACGCCGCGUGCAGGAUGAAGGCCUUCGGGUUGUAAACUGCUUUUAUAAGCGAGAAAUAUGAUGUUAACUUAUGAAUAAGGAUCGGCUAACUACGUGCCAGCAGCCGCGGUCAUACGUAGGAUCCGAGCAUUAUCCGGAGUGACUGGGUGUAAAGAGUUGCGUAGGUGGCAUAAUAAGUAGCUAGUGAAAUCUGGUGGCUCAACCAUUCAGACUAUUAGCUAAACUGUUAAGCUCGAGACCGUUAGGGGUAACUGGAAUUUCUGGUGUAGGAGUGAAAUCCGUAGAUAUUAGAAGGAACACCGAUAGCGUAGGCAGGUUGCUGGGACGGUUCUGACACUAAGGCACGAAAGCGUAGGGAGCAAACGGGAUUAGAUACCCUUGUAGUC
rnacentral:rRNA from 1 species